AGAAAGAUACUAAGUUGAGUGAGAUAUUGUGUGAGAUAUACUAGAUAGUGUUAUGGAGUCUGAUGCACAAAUAGAGAGUGCCGGAUGUGGCAUGGAUAUCCCCAGCGAUGUAAUCUCCUACUCUUUUUUUCUAUUUGUUCAACGUUUGAGCUGGCAUGCGUUGUGCUUUAUGCAUUUGUCUUCCCCAAACUAGAAAUUGUGAAGUAUUAUCGUUCAAAGGCAGCUUGUGAAGGAUCAAAAUCUAUCUCAGCUGCUGCAGGAUUACUGCAAGAUACUGAGAGGACUCAGAUAAUCUAAAGGACUUUCAACGCUUCAGCAACAAGCAACUCCUUAUUCAGAAUAUAGACUAUGCCAUUGAUUUGUAUCUGAUAUAUGUGUUGACAUUAUCCAUAUUUCCAGGAUUACUGUAUGAAAAUACAGGGUCACGUAGCCUAGGUUCUUGGUAUGGGUUGUUCUAGUUGCAUCUUACAAUGUUUUUGAUCUGAUUGGGAGAUAUACUUCUUUGAUCAAAAUGGUGAAGAUAACUUCUACGUACUUCUUGACAAUAGCAUGCCUCUCACAGUUUCUGCUGAUCCCUGCAUUUUACUUUACGGCCAAGUAUGGAGACCAAAGAUGGAUGAUAAUGUUGACAUCAAUCUUGGGGUUAACUAAUGGUCACCUGACUGUCUCUGUCCUUACUGAAGCACCUGAAGGUCACAAGGCAGAGGCGAGCAGCAAGGCAGUAGAACAAGAGGAGGCAAGAAGGAGUUCAUGCCCUCUACUUGUGACUUUCUAUCCUUUAUAUAGAUCUCUAUGGAAUCUUCUUUUUUUUUCUUAGUUGAUUUGAGAAUCUUCUUUUUAUCUUGUCUGGAAUCUUUUUUUUAUCUUUUUUGAAAUCGCCUUUUCAUCUUGUCUAAAAUCUCCUUUUUAUCUUGUUUGGAAUCUCUUGUUUGUAGUCUCUUUUUUAUCUUGUCUGGAAUCUCAUUUUUCUCUUGUCUGCUUCUUUAUAUCUUGCCAGGAAUCUCAUUUUUCUCUUGUUUAGAAUCUCCGUUUUAUCUUGUUGAGAAUCUAUUCCAGUGGUUCUUUCAAGCAUUCUCCACAUCAUGUUCUGAAGUAUGUUUCAUCAUCUGACAAUAUUUCUUCAGACUUUCUGUUGUCAUUAUCUGACUUUUGAUUGCUCUGGUUCUGGUAGCUUUAUCUGGUUUGGCCAAAGAUUUAAACCAAUUUGAUAAUUCAUGACGCUCAUCUUUGUAUUGAGUAGAUUGUGAAUAUACUAUUUGAUAAUUAUCAGAAUUGUAAAUCCACAUUUUCUUUUCUUGGAAUUGUUGUAGUAGUUCUUCAAAAAUAAUAUAUAGUA